AUGGGGGAGGCGCAUGGCUUUCCAGGAAUGCUGGGAAGCCUCGACUGCAUGCGCUGGGAAUGGAAGAAUUGCCCAGAUCCAUGGAAGGGUCAAUUCACUCGAGGAGACUAUGGAGUCUCUAUGGUUAUGCUUCAGGCUGUUGCAUCGCAAUACACUUGGAUAUGGCUUUCGUUUUUUGGGGUUGCUGGAUCAAACAAUGACCUAAGCGUCUUGAAUCAGUCACCGCUGUUCACUGAGGUUUUGGAGGGACGAGCACCACCAGUUCAGUUCACAAUUAACCAACGACAGUACAACAUGGGGUACUACCUGGUAGACGGAAUAUAUCCAGAAUGGGCGGCAUUUGUGAAAAAUAUUCCUCUAGCCCAAAGUGAGAAGGACAUAUUAUAUAGUAAGAAGCAAGAAGGAGCUAGAAAGGAUGUGGAAAGAGCUUUUGCGAUUUUACAAGCUCAAUUUGCAAUUCUACGUUAUGCAGCCAAUUAUUGA
rnacentral:rRNA from 1 species